UCUGCCAUUUGGAUCGGGAUAACAGAGGGAAACUUCUGCUAUGACCCAAUAUGGCGCAAGCUGAAAUAAGUUAUUGCCAAAUGAGGAGCUCGCGUCCGAUUAGUUAGCUGGCGGGGUACGAGCCUACCAAGGCAGCGAUCGGUAGUUGUUCUGAGAGGACGAGCAGCCCCACUGGGAGUGAGACACGGCCCAGACUCCUACGGGAGGCAGCAGUGGGGAAUUUUCCGCAAUGGGCGAAAGCCUGACGGAGCAAUACCGCGUGAGGGAGGAAGGCUUUUGGGUUGUAAACCUCUUUUAUUAAGGAAGAAGCAAGUGACGGUACUUAAUGAAUCAGCAUCGGCUAACUCCGUGCCAGCAGCCGCGGUAAUACGGAGGAUGCAAGCGUUAUCCGGAAUCAUUGGGCGUAAAGCGUCCGCAGGUGGUCAAUCGUGUCUGCCGUUAAAGACAGAAGCUCAACUUCUGAGAGGCGGUGGAAACUGGUUGACUAGAGUACGGUAGGGGUUGAGGGAAUUCCCAGUGUAGCGGUGAAAUGCGUAGAUAUUGGGAAGA
rnacentral:rRNA from 1 species